AGUCGAACGAUGAUGCCCAGCUUGCUGGGUGGAUUAGUGGCGAACGGGUGAGUAACACGUGAGUAACCUGCCCCUGACUCUGGGAUAAGCGUUGGAAACGACGUCUAAUACUGGAUAUGAUCACUGGCCGCAUGGUCUGGUGGUGGAAAGAUUUUUUGGUUGGGGAUGGACUCGCGGCCUAUCAGCUUGUUGGUGAGGUAAUGGCUCACCAAGGCGACGACGGGUAGCCGGCCUGAGAGGGUGACCGGCCACACUGGGACUGAGACACGGCCCAGACUCCUACGGGAGGCAGCAGUGGGGAAUAUUGCACAAUGGGCGAAAGCCUGAUGCAGCAACGCCGCGUGAGGGAUGACGGCCUUCGGGUUGUAAACCUCUUUUAGUAGGGAAGAAGCGAAAGUGACGGUACCUGCAGAAAAAGCACCGGCUAACUACGUGCCAGCAGCCGCGGUAAUACGUAGGGUGCAAGCGUUGUCCGGAAUUAUUGGGCGUAAAGAGCUCGUAGGCGGUUUGUCGCGUCUGCUGUGAAAUCCCGAGGCUCAACCUCGGGCUUGCAGUGGGUACGGGCAGACUAGAGUGCGGUAGGGGAGAUUGGAAUUCCUGGUGUAGCGGUGGAAUGCGCAGAUAUCAGGAGGAACACCGAUGGCGAAGGCAGAUCUCUGGGCCGUAACUGACGCUGAGGAGCGAAAGCAUGGGGAGCGAACAGGAUUAGAUACCCUGGUAGUCCAUGCCGUAAACGUUGGGCGCUAGAUGUAGGGACCUUUCCACGGUUUCUGUGUCGUAGCUAACGCAUUAAGCGCCCCGCCUGGGGAGUACGGCCGCAAGGCUAAAACUCAAAGGAAUUGACGGGGGCCCGCACAAGCGGCGGAGCAUGCGGAUUAAUUCGAUGCAACGCGAAGAACCUUACCAAGGCUUGACAUACACCGGAAACGGCCAGAGAUGGUCGCCCCCUUGUGGUCGGUGUACAGGUGGUGCAUGGUUGUCGUCAGCUCGUGUCGUGAGAUGUUGGGUUAAGUCCCGCAACGAGCGCAACCCUCGUUCUAUGUUGCCAGCGGGUUAUGCCGGGGACUCAUAGGAGACUGCCGGGGUCAACUCGGAGGAAGGUGGGGAUGACGUCAAAUCAUCAUGCCCCUUAUGUCUUGGGCUUCACGCAUGCUACAAUGGCCGGUACAAAGGGCUGCGAUACCGUAAGGUGGAGCGAAUCCCAAAAAGCCGGUCUCAGUUCGGAUUGAGGUCUGCAACUCGACCUCAUGAAGUCGGAGUCGCUAGUAAUCGCAGAUCAGCAACGCUGCGGUGAAUACGUUCCCGGGCCUUGUACACACCGCCCGUCAAGUCAUGAAAGUCGGUAACACCCGAAGCCGGUGGCCUAAC
rnacentral:rRNA from 1 species